rnacentral:lncRNA from 1 species
GCAUUUGAAGAUAAUGUUAAAUGGUGCACAGCCUGCGACUAGUGAGCCAGAUGUAGCCUGCUGACUGUUGAUAUGCAACAAGGGAAAGCUUCUAAACACAAUAAAUCCAUUGAAAAGGACAUUACAGGAGCCAAUAUACUGACAGCAUGGACAGAAGGGUGUGAGAAUUAUGGUGUUGGAAUUGGCAGGAAGUACCGCUCAGAAAAAGCUUGACAGACUACUGUACAAGUCAUAAUGGAGACAUUGAAUUGAAAAUUCUGUUAUCUUGAGUCUCAAUAUUGAUGUUUUUAGAUCAUUAAAUGGUUAUAUGUAUACUAUAUGCAUAUAACGAUUGGAAAAAGGUGCAGCAAAGCUUUAUUAUAAAGAGGCCAUAACGGCGGAAAUGUAGAUAUUGAAAAUGAGGAAGAAAAAAUAUUGUAUUAUUAGUUGCAUUGUAUUUUUCUAAAUAAAUGUCUUUUUUUUUA